CGUCUUCAAGUGGUUAUCCAAUCAAACUUACAUAUGAAGAGAUCUUUUUCCUCCUCCCCCACCUCCUGGUGAAAUCCUUCUCUGCAUGAAGAUUAGAUUGAUUUAAUCCUGUGGCAAAUCUGACCGGAAACACAAACGUACAGUCAUUUGACGACAUCUAUGUAUGAAGAGAUCUGCUUUAUCUUUGUGUGGGAACCUUACGGGUGCCCAGGACCAUCAACGGUCACAAACUUCUCGGCUGCCAUUUAGGGGAUUUUUAAAAUCACAAUGAAAGCAAAUAGAGCAAUAACAAUGCAAAUGGAGUGUGGUUGCUGCAACAAAAAAGAGAGCAGUGUUCAAAUCUUACCGUUUGUUGCCCUGAAUUUCUAACAUAUUUUCCGGGACUUUUACCCUCAAAAGGGGAGGGGAAGGCGAAGAAGAGAUAUUUACGAUCUACACUUUUGUGUUUUUUUUAAUUAAAAGAACCCUUGAC